UAGAGAGAGCCACCGUCGACAAGACGGAGGAAGGCGGGGAUGACGUCAAAUCAUCAUGCCCCUUAUGACCUGGGCUACACACGUGCUCCAAUGGUUGGUACAACGGGAUGCUACUUCGCGAGAAGAUGCUAAUCUCUUAAAACCAAUCUCAGUUCGGAUUGUAGGCUGCAACUCGCCUACAUGAAGUCGGAAUCGCUAGUAAUCGCGGAUCAGCAUGCCGCGGUGAAUACGUUCCCGGGCCUUGUACACACCGCCCGUCACACCACGGGAGUUUGCAACACCCGAAGUCGGUGAGGUAACCGCAAGGAGCCCA
rnacentral:rRNA from 1 species